rnacentral:rRNA from 1 species
UCUUAACAAGGUUUCCGUAGGUGAACCUGCGGAAGGAUCAUUA